GAACUUUCCAGAGAUGGAUUGGUGCCUUCGGGAACUCUGAGACAGGUGCUGCAUGGCUGUCGUCAGCUCGUGUUGUGAAAUGUUGGGUUAAGUCCCGCAACGAGCGCAACCCUUAUCCUUUGUUGCCAGCGGUUAGGCCGGGAACUCAAAGGAGACUGCCAGUGAUAAACUGGAGGAAGGUGGGGAUGACGUCAAGUCAUCAUGGCCCUUACGAGUAGGGCUACACACGUGCUACAAUGGCGCAUACAAAGAGAAGCGACCUCGCGAGAGCAAGCGGACCUCAUAAAGUGCGUCGUAGUCCGGAUUGGAGUCUGCAACUCGACUCCAUGAAGUCGGAAUCGCUAGUAAUCGUGGAUCAGAAUGCCACGGUGAAUACGUUCCCGGGCCUUGUACACACCGCCCGUCACACCAUGGGAGUGGGUUGCAAAAGAAGUAGGUAGCUUAACCUUCGGGAGGGCGCUUACCACUUUGUGAUUCAUGACUGGGGUGAAGUCGUAACAAGGUAAGCGUAGAUGA
rnacentral:rRNA from 1 species